CCGUCUCGCGCAAUUCUAACCAGUCUCAUUAGGCACUGCCCGCGGUAUAGACAUAUUUGGCAAAAUUAAUCGUAAUACUGAUUGUUGUUUGUGGUAAAAUAUUGCUAACGCCGAGGUAUCGAGUUCAGCGAAGGUGGGAGAUUACACAGUUCCUGUGGUGCGUCACCAAGAUGGCUGCCACAGUAGCAACGGGCCGGUGUAGCGAUUAUACUACAUUUGACGUGAUGGCAGUUGACGUGAGGAUAGUCGACAACUCGAGACUGCAAAAAAAACCGGCGGCACCAGAUCGAGUGGAGUUAUUGUAGAUUAUUUAAAGAGUUUCUUGAUAGCGGGUUACAGCCACAAAAAUGCCAGAAAAUUAAGUAAACAAUUUGAAUGAAUAACAAUACGCU